ACCACUAGCCUCCAUGAGUUGAUGGUCAAGCAUGGAGUCACUGACGAACAGUUGGAUCGAGAGAUUGUACAAGACGACCUUGCUCCAGUAGCUAUGCACUUUGAUGAUGUGGAGCUGCACCUUAACCCACUUAAGUUGACUGACAAUGAAAAAGCUGACUUAAAGCGAGAAAUGUAUGUUAGUAGGAGCAAUCAAGUGGCAGUGAUCAACUGUUUGUCAAUCUGGAUGGGUCACGAACCCAGCGGAGCAACCUUCAGAGCACUGAUUACGAUCUUAUUGGAUCUGAGGAAGGAAGAGAUUGCUACCAAGAUCUGUCAGUACUUGAAAGAUAACUUACUGGACACUGCCAGAGAGAGGAUCACUACCCAAUCAUGCACGAUCAGUGCAAUGGCACAUUAAAGAGCAUCCCAAGAAUGUGCUUGCUAAAGUUGAUGGAACCAAAAUUGAAGCUGAGGAGUCCAAUCUCCUUGGAAUAAUUUUACAGAAGGUGAUGCCAUUGUUUUUGAAUAUAAAGGAUCUACUCAGUGGAACAAGUAAUCUAACUUAUAAAGAGCUACAAAUAGUCCUUGGUCGGACCACACAGACAUUGUAUUUAUCAACCAAUCUGGAACAAAAGUUGCGAGCACGUAAGCAGUAAAUUCAUUCAUCGUGCAUGCAUUCUACGAUGUGCAUGUACUUUAAGUUGUACUGUUUACAUCCACUUUACAGACUGCGGCAUGCGCAUGAAAAGCCUCUCGCAGAGUUGUAUUUAAGUAUGAUUUUAGAAGAAAGGAUAGGAUGGUAGGGAUGCGUACAUCUAUAAAUUAGUCUGCGAGCCGCGUCUAAUUACAUAGUUAGAAUCGGUCUCUCCAGAACUGCUAGAGCAGCAAGAUACUUGGCCUUACCCCUAAAUGUCGUUGUUGGUUUUUUCCACUCUCAUAGCUUUAGCUACAGUGUAGCUAUAAUUAUAGAUCUAGCUAGUAUGUGUAGUCACCACUAAGACUACUGGUACUAGCCUCGAUCCCAGGCCGAGUUUUCGCUUUUAUAACAGUUAGGUGAACAACUAUCACAAAGAACUCUGUGUCAUAGGUCUAUUUGUCAGAGAUAUAUAUAGGCUUAGCUAGAGUUCGAGUGUGAGCUGUCUUGUGCGAAGGAAGAAGGAGCAUAACUCUUGUGAAAGAACAGACCUAGGUUCUCAAGUUUCUGCUAUCACAUGUAUCAUGUCAGUUGGCUACCUUUGAUUGACUACACAAUUUAAUACAAGCGCUUGAUUAGACCAUUGAUUGCCAGAUACACUUGGUAGAGUCUGGCCAUUGAUCUCUUGCAUGUAUACUAUGCUCAGGGGUGUCCACAAGUGGCUGGGCCUGGGAUGUAUUGUCAAGCCUAUAGCCCAAUCCUUGGUAUCUGGAUCAAGAUAUGACAUUACGGCACUGCACUGGUGUUGUGUUAGCCUCCUUCACCGGCCUUCAAGGAAGCGGCCUGGGAUCGAGGCUAGUUUUGUGUGGACCAUCACUGAGCAAAAUGGAACCUUUCCCCUCCAACCCCCGUCGUACUCCUCCUAGCUGAUGGGUGCGAACUCAUUGAAAGAGGAUGCCCCAGUGCCACUCGUGUCCUUCCCAAGGGGCCGAUCUUAUAGAACUACCUGCACUAAAACUACUGACGUGGAAUGGCUCUUCUUUCAACACUUCUGAUUACUAUCCUGACCAGUAAUGUCAGGAUUCUACUGUUUCUUGAUGCACUGUGAACACACAAUCUUUGUUAUGCCACCUGAAGGCUUAUCCAACGCAGUAUUUAUUAAGUCUUUCUGGAAGCUCUUGUUUGAGAUCUUCGCUUCUAAACAUCUGCAUUUAUUAUGGACGCAGUACUGCUGUGCAGAUAACAGUAUUAAUUUCUAGUGUCAUUAUAUCACUGUAUUUUUAGCCAACUGUGAUGAACUGAAGAUUUUACAGCAUUCCUGUUGAUACUUACCAGUUUCCGGUCACGCCCAGAUGCGAAGCAACAACUAUACAUUCCCUUAUUCCUCCGACCCUGUACCUACUGUCGCACUAAUAUACCACGUUCUUCACAGCCAUUUUGUAGGAUGUAUGGUAGGGCAUAAGGUAUACUAGGAUGGGGUAGGACGGGCCAUCCUAUACCUUGUCGUAUAUCUUGCCACAACCACUUAUCGGACCCCAUCCUACCACAAACUUCUUUAUCCUACACUGGAUUGUUCAGCCAUCCUACUUUAUUGUACCCUGUCAUGCACGUCCUAUAUACACUUGAUUGUUCAUCCAUACCGUAGUGCUAGAAAUAAUAAUAUGCGAGCAUAAAUUAUGCUACAAGAUAGUACCAAAUUUCCAUAUAUACAGUAGAACCUCGAUUAUCCGGACACCUUGGUUCCAGAAGCAGGCCGGAUAAGUGAAUACGCCGGAUAAUCGAAUAGAUAAACCACGCCUUGAUCCACCCACUUUAUUGAUAAAAAACAGUGCCACAUGGUUGUCUGCGCAUGCGCAAAAGAUAAGCAGGCAUGUCUCCAUGGUAACAGCUGCAACGCGCAUGCGCGUUUGAGGGACACCCCCAUUUUCUGAUCUGAUAACAAGAAAACUGCCAAGCCGGAUAAUCGAGGUUCCGGAUAAUGGAGGGCCGGAUAAUCGAGGUUCUACUGUACACUCUACACAUGCGAAGAUAGACUGAUCUGUUCGCAAAAUUUAAAAACUAAUCAAGCAAGACAAUCAAUUUACUCAGAAAUCAAACGUGGUUUUGACAUAAGUAAACAGUGCAGUCAUGUACCUAAUUGCAGAUGAGGUCGACUACGUGAGUGUCAUGUUCUUUUUGUAUCUUUUCUCCAGGUUUAACAUCACAGUGCCAGUUGUACAGGUGUGAUAUAUUUAUUUCUGGAGGAUAAGUUGCGGUGCCCUCCGUAUCGGCCCAAUCAAAAUCCACUAUACGAACUGUCUUGUCGUCCAUGACCAUGAUGUUUUGCUCUCGUAGAUCGCCAUGUACAUAGUUAGAUUCGUGCAUUUUUUUGACAGCUGUCUUCAAUGAUUGUUUUGCCUUAUCGCUGAAACUCGCAGAAGAACUUUUUAGCUUCUCCAUCACCACUGCAUACCACCCACCAGGUAGUAGACGACAAGUGAAGAGUUUAGGUGCGAAAUUAAAAGAAGCGAGAUGCUUGUGGACAGCUUCGCCAUAUUGACCACGAACAAAUUUCACAACAACCUCAACCCCAUAGUAGCCAACAACCAGUU